ACUCAAAGGAAUUGACGGGGACUUGCACAAGCGGUGGAUUAUGUGGUUUAAUUCGAUGGUAAACGAAGAACCUCACCAAGAUUUGAAACUUACACGAAUACUAUAGAAAUAUAGUAGCCGAAAGGCGGGUAAGCAGGUGAUGCAUGGCCGUCGUCAGUUCGUGGUUUGAAUUGUUCCCUUAAGUGGGGUAACGAACGCAACCCUCGUCGUGUGUUACAAGUGUCACACGAGACUGCCCCGACCCAAGUUUUUGAACAAUAGUUCGAAGAUUUCGGUCGGGGAGGAAGGAGAGGAUGACGCCAGGUCAGCAUGUCCCUUUGAUAUCUUGGGCUACACACAUAAUACAAUCGCCACUACAACGGGUCGCGACGGGGUAACCCUGAGCCAAUCCUUUAAAAGUGGCGCCAGUUCGGAUUGAGGUCUGCAACUCGACCUCAUGAAGCCGGAAUCGCUAGUAAUCGCGGGUCAGACAUACCGCGGUGAAUACGUUCUCAAGUCUUGUACACACCGCCCGU
rnacentral:rRNA from 1 species